AAGGAGUGUAUAUUACAAAAAGAAC
rnacentral:tRNA from 1 species